rnacentral:rRNA from 1 species
ACUCCAUGUGUAGUGGUGAAAUGCGUAGAUAUAUGGAAGAACACCAGUGGCGAAGGCGGCUGUCUGGUCUGUAACUGACGCUGAGGCUCGAAAGUAUGGGUAGCAAACAGGAUUAGAUACCCUGGUAGUCCAUACCGUAAACGAUGAAUGCUAAGUGUUGGAGGGUUUCCCCCUUCAGUGCUGCAGCUAACGCAUUAAGCAUUCCGCCUGGGGAGUACGGCCGCAAGGCUGAAACUCAAAGGAAUUGACGGGGGCCCGCACAAGCGGUGGAGCAUGUGGUUUAAUUCGAAGCUACGCGAAGAACCUUACCAGGUCUUGACAUACUAUGCAAAUCUAAGAGAUUAGACGUUCCCUUCGGGGACAUGGAUACAGGUGGUGCAUGGUUGUCGUCAGCUCGUGUCGUGAGAUGUUGGGUUAAGUCCCGCAACGAGCGCAACCCUUAUUAUCAGUUGCCAGCAUUAAGUUGGGCACUCUGGUGAGACUGCCGGUGACAAACCGGAGGAAGGUGGGGAUGACGUCAAAUCAUCAUGCCCCUUAUGACCUGGGCUACACACGUGCUACAAUGGAUGGUACAACGAGUUGCGAACUCGCGAGAGUAAGCUAAUCUCUUAAAGCCAUUCUCAGUUCGGAUUGUAGGCUGCAACUCGCCUACAUGAAGUCGGAAUCGCUAGUAAUCGCGGAUCAGCAUGCCGCGGUGAAUACGUUCCCGGGCCUUGUACACACCGCCCGUCACACCAUGAGAGUUUGUAACACCCAAAGUCAGUGGGGUAACCUUUAGGAACCAGCCGCCUAAGGUGGGACAGAUGAUUAGGGUGAAGUCGUAACAAGGUAACCA